rnacentral:rRNA from 1 species
AUUGAACGCUGGCGGCAGGCUUAACACAUGCAAGUCGAGCGGUAGCACAGGGGAGCUUGCUCCCUGGGUGACGAGCGGCGGACGGGUGAGUAAUGUCUGGGAAACUGCCUGAUGGAGGGGGAUAACUACUGGAAACGGUAGCUAAUACCGCAUAACGUCGCAAGACCAAAGAGGGGGACCUUCGGGCCUCUUGCCAUCAGAUGUGCCCAGAUGGGAUUAGCUAGUAGGUGGGGUAAUGGCUCACCUAGGCGACGAUCCCUAGCUGGUCUGAGAGGAUGACCAGCCACACUGGAACUGAGACACGGUCCAGACUCCUACGGGAGGCAGCAGUGGGGAAUAUUGCACAAUGGGCGCAAGCCUGAUGCAGCCAUGCCGCGUGUGUGAAGAAGGCCUUCGGGUUGUAAAGCACUUUCAGCGAGGAGGAAGGUGGUGAGCUUAAUACGUUCAUCAAUUGACGUUACUCGCAGAAGAAGCACCGGCUAACCCCGUG